UACGGGGGGAGCAAGCGUUGUUCGGAUUUACUGGGCGUAAAGGGCGCGUAGGCGGCCACCGCAAGUCGACUGUGAAAUCUCCGGGCUUAACUCGGAACGGCCAACUGAUACUGCUGUGCUAGAGUGCAGAAGGGGCAAUCGGAAUUCUUGGUGUAGCGGUGAAAUGCGUAGAUAUCAAGAGGAACACCUGAGGUGAAGACGGGUUGCUAGGCUGACACUGACGCUGAGGCGCGAAAGCCAGGGGAGCAAACGGG
rnacentral:rRNA from 1 species